rnacentral:tRNA from 1 species
GGUAAUGUCCGGACGGCUUCGUCCGGGGCCACCCCAAAUGCGGCCUUGGGCUGUGCUUUUGCGGUCAGGCGGCCGGUGCCAGGCGGGUCAUCGCGU